UACGGAGGGUGCGAGCGUUAAUUGGAAUUACUGGGCGUAAAGCGCAUGCAGGUGGUUUGUUAAGUCAGAUGUGAAAGCCCGGGGCUCAACCUCGGAAUAGCAUUUGAAACUGGCAGACUAGAGUACUGUAGAGGGGGGUAGAAUUUCAGGUGUAGCGGUGAAAUGCGUAGAGAUCUGAAGGAAUACCGGUGGCGGAGGCGGCCCCCUGGACAGAUACUGACACUCAGAUGCGAGAGCGUGGGGAGCAAACAGG
rnacentral:rRNA from 1 species